CUGAUCCAGCCAUGCCGCGUGAGUGAUGAAGGCCUUAGGGUCGUAAAGCUCUUUCGCCAGGGAUGAUAAUGACAGUACCUGGUAAAGAAACCCCGGCUAACUCCGUGCCAGCAGCCGCGGUAAUACGGAGGGGGUUAGCGUUGUUCGGAAUUACUGGGCGUAAAGCGCGCGUAGGCGGAUUAGUCAGUUAGAGGUGAAAUCCCGGGGCUCAACCCCGGAACUGCCUUUAAUACUGCUAGUCUUGAGUUCGAGAGAGGUGAGUGGAAUUCCGAGUGUAGAGGUGAAAUUCGUAGAUAUUCGGAGGAACACCAGUGGCGAAGGCGGCUCACUGGCUCGAUACUGACGCUGAGGUGCGAAAGUGUGGGGAGCAAACAGGAUUAGAUACCCUGGUAGUCCACACCGUAAACGAUGAAUGCCAGUCGUCGGGUAGCAUGCUAUUCGGUGACACACCUAACGGAUUAAGCAUUCCGCCUGGGGAGUACGGUCGCAAGAUUAAAACUCAAAUGAAUUGACGGGG
rnacentral:rRNA from 1 species